AGCAAACUAACGGUCGAUGUGUUUGUCUCUUCUCAGCCUGGUCACUCCAAACCUUUGCUCGCUGAAGUGGCUCUGAUGCUGCGGCUGGGAGAAGCUCCAUCGUGCCCCAACAUCUUGGAGCUACACCAGUGGCUGGAGGAUGAGAGCAGCUUCACUCUCAUCUUGGAGUACCCUGAACCCUGCAGGACCUUGGAGGAUUACAUCUUGUUCUCCGGCCCCGUUAGUGAGGCACAUGCACACUUGUUUAUGCUUCAGGUGCUUAAAACAGUCAAACACUGCCAUGAGCAUGGAGUUUAUCAUGGUGAUAUCCGCUCGAGGAACAUCCUGGUGACUCUCCACAGUUUGGAGCUUAAACUCUUUGACUUCCGCUGCGCUCGUCUUGUCAACAGCAAGGGCUUUGACAGCAGCCAAUACCAAGGAUCAGACGCAUAGACCCCUCCUGAGGUCCUAGGCCUGUCCAUAUUCCACGCUGCAGCAGCAGACGUCUGGGCGCUGGCUGUCCUCCUCUUCGAGAUUAUUCACAGAUAUCUGCCCUUCGAAAGCUUUGAUGCCAUUCAGCACGGCUACCUCAAGAUGGGUCCCACCUUAUCCACAGCAUGUUGUGACCUGAUCUUCCACUGCUUGAGCCGUAAUCCAGCUCACCGGCUGACGCUCCAGCAGCUGGAAGAGCACCGCUGGAUGAAAACCUAGAUUGGAAGAAGGCAGGGAUCCUGAUCUGGAUCAGACAGUGCUUUAUUUAUAAAAAAAUAUUUUGAAUCAAACCAGUGAUCAUUUAAUUGCCAGUACGGGAAGUCAAAGUGUUGAACGAGUCUUUCUCAUUGCAUUACACUCAUCACAAUGAAGUGCAUCCAUCUGAACAGACACACGGUUUGUGGGUGAAGGAAAUGGUUCUGUUCUGUU